GUGGGGAAUAUUGCACAAUGGGGGGAACCCUGAUGCAGCGAUGCCGCGUGGAGGAAGAAGGUUUUCGGAUUGUAAACUCCUGUCGUAAGGGAAGAAAAAGGACGGUACCUUACAAGAAAGCUCCGGCUAACUACGUGCCAGCAGCCGCGGUAAUACGUAGGGAGCGAGCGUUGUCCGGAAUUACUGGGUGUAAAGGGAGCGUAGGCGGGAUUGCAAGUCAGAUGUGAAAACUAUGGGCUUAACCUAUAGACUGCAUUUGAAACUGUAGUUCUUGAGUGAAGUAGAGGUAAGCGGAAUUCCUAGUGUAGCGGUGAAAUGCGUAGAUAUUAGGAGGAACACCAGUGGCGAAGGCGGCUUGCUGGACGACAACUGACGCUGAGGCGCGAAAGCGUGGGGAGCAAACAGG
rnacentral:rRNA from 1 species